rnacentral:misc_RNA from 1 species
GAUGAAGAACGUCGCGAAAUGCGAUAAGUAAUGUGAAUUGCAGAAUUCAGUGAAUCAUCGAAUCUUUGAACGCACCUUGCGCUCCUUGGUAUUCCUUGGAGCAUGCCUGUUUGAGUAUCAUGAAAUUCUCAAAGUAAAUCUUUUUGUUAAUUCAAUUAGGUUCACUUUGGAUUUGGAGGUUUUUUGCAGCUUCACACCUGCUCCUCUUUGUGCAUUAGCUGGAUCUCAGUGUUAUGCUUGGUUCCACUCGGCGUGAUAAGUUAUCUAUCGCUGAGGACACUUUUUUUUUGUUUUUUUUCUAAAAAUAAAUAAAUAACUAAGUGGCCAAGGGAAAUGCAGAUGAACCGCUUCCAAUAGUCCAUUAGCUUGGACAAAUAUAUUUUUAUGAUCUGAUCUCAAAUCAGGUAGGACUACCCGCUGAACUUAAGCAUAUCAAUAAGCGGAGGA